GGUGGGGGAUUUUGGCAUGGCGAAAUUGGUGGAUCCAAGGCUGAGAACUCAACGAACUGGGGUGGUUGGAACUUAUGGUUACUUAGCACCUGAAUAUGUGAACGGAGGAAGAGCAAGCAGGGAAUCAGAUAUAUACAGUUUUGGAGUGGUGGCAUUGGAGAUAGCAAGUGGGAGGAGGACAUACCAAGAUGGUGAGUUUCAUGUUAGUUUGAUGAAUUGGGUGUGGCAGCUUUAUGUGGAAGGAGAACUUAUGAGAGCUGCAGAUGAGAAACUGAAAGAGGAGUUUGAUGAGAAUGAGAUGAGAAGUUUGCUUGUGGUGGGUUUGUGGUGCACAAACCCUAAUGAUAAAGAGAGGCCUAAGGCUGCAG
rnacentral:lncRNA from 1 species